rnacentral:rRNA from 1 species
GGAUCAGUGGCGAACGGGUGAGUAACACGUGAGCAACCUGCCCCUGACUCUGGGAUAAGCGCUGGAAACGGCGUCUAAUACUGGAUAUGUGACGUGACCGCAUGGUCUGCGUUUGGAAAGAUUUUUCGGUUGGGGAUGGGCUCGCGGCCUAUCAGCUUGUUGGUGAGGUAAUGGCUCACCAAGGCGUCGACGGGUAGCCGGCCUGAGAGGGUGACCGGCCACACUGGGACUGAGACACGGCCCAGACUCCUACGGGAGGCAGCAGUGGGGAAUAUUGCACAAUGGGCGAAAGCCUGAUGCAGCAACGCCGCGUGAGGGAUGACGGCCUUCGGGUUGUAAACCUCUUUUAGCAGGGAAGAAGCGAAAGUGACGGUACCUGCAGAAAAAGCGCCGGCUAACUACGUGCCAGCAGCCGCGGUAAUACGUAGGGCGCAAGCGUUAUCCGGAAUUAUUGGGCGUAAAGAGCUCGUAGGCGGUUUGUCGCGUCUGCUGUGAAAUCCCGAGGCUCAACCUCGGGCCUGCAGUGGGUACGGGCAGACUAGAGUGCGGUAGGGGAGAUUGGAAUUCCUGGUGUAGCGGUGGAAUGCGCAGAUAUCAGGAGGAACACCGAUGGCGAAGGCAGAUCUCUGGGCCGUAACUGACGCUGAGGAGCGAAAGGGUGGGGAGCAAACAGGCUUAGAUACCCUGGUAGUCCACCCCGUAAACGUUGGGAACUAGUUGUGGGGUCCAUUCCACGGAUUCCGUGACGCAGCUAACGCAUUAAGUUCCCCGCCUGGGGAGUACGGCCGCAAGGCUAAAACUCAAAGGAAUUGACGGGGACCCGCACAAGCGGCGGAGCAUGCGGAUUAAUUCGAUGCAACGCGAAGAACCUUACCAAGGCUUGACAUAUACGAGAACGGGCCAGAAAUGGUCAACUCUUUGGACACUCGUAAACAGGUGGUGCAUGGUUGUCGUCAGCUCGUGUC